AAAGCGUGCGCAGGCGGUUCGGAAAGAAGGAUGUGAAAUCCCAGGGCUUAACCUUGGAACUGCAUUCUUAACUACCGGGCUAGAGUAUGUCAGAGGGGGGUGGAAUUCCGCGUGUAGCAGUGAAAUGCGUAGAUAUGCGGAGGAACACCGAUGGCGAAGGCAGCCCCCUGGGAUAAUACUGACGCUCAUGCACGAAAGCGUGGGGAGCAAACAGGAUUAGAUACCCGAGU
rnacentral:rRNA from 1 species